GUGAACUGGGCAGUAAGAUGAGUGGCUUUGUACAUGUUUCCAAAUAUAUGAGGACUUUGAUGGAGAAUUGCGAUGUCCAUCUGGUGGAGAUUGAAGGGAAGCAGAUUUCUACUUCUAUAUGAAAGUUGGUCAAAGUUGUUUGAAGAAUAAAUCAGCUGCUGAGUCAGGAAGAAAUGGAUGAAUUACUUCUGGAUCUACUUAGGAAAAUACCUGUCUUCCAGCAGCUGAAAUUGGAAAUGAUGACAAGACUAUGUGAACCCUAGAUGGAGGAAAGACAUUUCUGGGGUCUGUCCCACAGAACCUUCCACCUUCCAGCUGACAGCAUCAUCUGUAUUUUGGAAAGUCUCCAAUCAAAACUUGAAGAUGAGAAAUUUUCCUGACAAGGCUGUACAGAUUGGGUCUUUUCCCUCUGCUUCUGAGGCUGCCAUCCGUUAUCAGGAUUUAUAGUUGCUGACAUCUUGCUUUAAUAAUUCACAAGGAAUAGAAUCCAUUUUGUGCUUCCGUUUUCUCAGUCAAGUCAUUGAUGCAGACAGAUGGAAAACAGGCUUUUUGUCAGUGAAAUAAAUCAAGAGAACUCAAAGUAAUACUAAAGGACUUGCCACUACUAAACAUUUUACCACCAAUGUACAGCUAGAUAAAACCAGAAGCAGGGCAGGCUCUGCAGUGAACUCUGAGUUCUAGCACUUCUGGCAUUGAAGGAAAAAGCCUGCUCUCCCAUAGUUCUUCAGAAGGCUGGCAGCCAAAGGUGGUGGCUUUCGUGAUUUAUGGCAAGGAAAUCAUUUUAAGGACAAAAUUAAAUUCCAAAUUCA
rnacentral:lncRNA from 1 species